GAUGAACGCUGGCGGCGUGCCUAAUACAUGCAAGUCGAGCGAACGGACGAGAAGCUUGCUUCUCUGAUGUUAGCGGCGGACGGGUGAGUAACACGUGGAUAACCUACCUAUAAGACUGGGAUAACUUCGGGAAACCGGAGCUAAUACCGGAUAAUAUUUUGAACCGCAUGGUUCAAAAGUGAAAGACGGUCUUGCUGUCACUUAUAGAUGGAUCCGCGCUGCAUUAGCUAAUUGGUAAGGUAACGGCUUACCAAGGCUACGAUGCAUAGCCGACCUGAGAGGGUGAUCGGCCACACUGGAACUGAGACACGGUCCAGACUCCUACGGGAGGCAGCAGUAGGGAAUCUUCCGCAAUGGGCGAAAGCCUGACGGAGCAACGCCGCGUGAGUGAUGAAGGUCUUCGGAUCGUAAAACUCUGUUAUUAGGGAAGAACAUAUGUGUAAGUAACUGUGCACAUCUUGACGGUACCUAAUCAGAAAGCCACGGCUAACUACGUG
rnacentral:rRNA from 1 species